UACGUAGGUGGCAAGCGUUAUCCGGAAUUAUUGGGCGUAAAGCGCGCGCAGGUGGUUUCUUAAGUCUGAUGUGAAAGCCCACGGCUCAACCGUGGAGGGUCAUUGGAAACUGGGAGACUUGAGUGCAGAAAGAGGAAAGUGGAAUUCCAUGUGUAGCGGUGAAAUGCGUAGAGAUAUGGAGGAACACCAGUGGCGAAGGCGACUUUCUGGUCUGUAACUGACACUGAGGCGCGAAAGCGUGGGAGCAAACAGG
rnacentral:rRNA from 1 species